UGCCUUCAGGGCUGGGGAAGUAUGGUAAUGACUAUUGUGCAGGGUAGGUUACUGGUGGAGAAGCUGAUGAUAAAUGGUCCUAUGCUUGUUCAUUCAUUUCCUGAUUCAUGCGACCGUGUAAGUAUCUACAAUGUGUGAAUCAGGGCUUGACACUAAGGGAGGCAAUGAUAAAUAUGGCAUCAUCCCUGCCUUUGGGGAGCUCACAGACCCAAACUUGUGAGUCUCAAGCUUCGGAGGUCUAUUCAUCAGGUGAGGGCGCAAUCCAAAGACACUCAUUGUGUAACAGUAUAACUGAACAGCAACAUUUUGAGCUCUUUCUUGGGGCUUUUAUAAAUACACACACAGGUAGGACUGUCCCUGAGUAAGCAAAGGCUACACUCCACUGAAUGGCCUGCUGGUGUCACAUAGGGGAACUUUGUUUAUCUACCAUAACAAUACAUGGGUCUCUGAGGGCCCCUUGGGAGGGAGCUGGGUAGGAAGAGCAGAGCAAAGAGCUGGACAAGCACCAGUAAAUGUGGCCUAUUGGUGGGCUGGCAGAGGAGAAGCUCUGGGCAGGAGAUUCACAGAGACAAAAGAGCAGGGACUAGUAAGGCUGGAUCAUGUAGGAAAUAUGCCAUUCAAGAGAACUCUUCAGGACACAGAAGCAAGUCAACUUAAGGCACCAACUACUACUGUAGAGGAUGAGGAGAUAAAUUCUACAAUGAACCUGCUAAGUCCCUUUAAAGUAAAUGAAUAUCAACUUUAAUACAAGUAACCUCAAGGCAAAGUUCUUUCUCUGGAUAUGGAUAGCAUCUUUCUCAUAAGUCCCUUGGAAUUGUCCUGGGUCAUUCCAUGUUAGCAAACACUCUUUGAAUGGAUUGUAAAGGCUCUACUCUCUGCCAAGAAUCUCCCAUGCAGGUGUCAUACAAGAUUCUUCAAAAAGUAUAAUGGAGAUUACUUUGAAAACUCUUUGAUUAAUACCAAAUAAGGCAUAAAACAUGGAAAAUGAUGCUCACCAAAGGUGUUUACAGUGGUUGCAGAGGAUAUACAGUGCUGAGACUAAAUCAAAGAGGAAUUCCCUAUUGACGGUGAGGUUUUGGAGAUGCUCCUCUUUACAGAUGAUAUCAAGUUCCAGAACAUUGUAGAACU